CGGGCGCUGGAGAGGGCAGGGCAGGGCAGGGCAGGGCAGGGCAGGGCGGCUCCUGGGGACGAGUGAUCCUCUCCGCUUUUUCUUAACCCUUAGCUCUCGCUCUGGGUAAGGGACUACCCCGUCUUUUCCUCACUCUGCGCUUGUGCCUCCCGGAGCGGCGUGUGCGGCCUGGCCAUGGCGGUGGCCCAGCUGGAUGGGAUGUGCUCUGCCUGCUCCCAUUGUUGCGUACAGAGGCCAACGAGGAAGAAAGUUCAGGUUUAUCCUGUCAUGCUCUGCUGUGACAUAGCUGAGGAGUUUAUGAGCAACCUCAUUGUGAGCUGAACUUUCAACCAAACGCUUAAUGUCAAAAGUGACAACCAAUUCUGAGUGCCCAGCUGAAGACUUCAGGGUCCUGCAAUUCCACAGUGUGGUCUACUCUACAUCAUGUUGUCUUUCAUUUGUUCUGAGCACAGCCAUCAUUGUUGCCUCUUUGCAGCUACAUGUACCCAAAGCUUUUGUGAAUUCAGAGAAUGGAAAAUUCACUGUCCAUCUUCAGAAAUUGGAUUUAAGUGACUUCCUCAGUUCCACAAAUCCUUCAGCAAGAAUGUGAUCUCCUCUGUCUUUAUAGUCACAUCCAUUCCUCUUAUAGCUUCCAGGCUCUUUUGCAACAAAUCGGGCAGAGUUCUGAUGAGAAAACAGUCCCAUUCACUGCAUUCAUUUGAAAAGUGAGGUGUUACAUUUCUUAUCUUUACAAAUACAAAAUACAGGUCACUUAAUUUUGUUUGCGUUAUUCCACAUGAUUAAAAAGAGUUACGGUGGAGGACACUGUAAAAGAGGGUGCAAAUAGAAAACAAUUCCAUUACAAAGAAAGAUGAAGUGCAGUCCAGUAACUCUUGAAGUUCCAGGGCAGAAGCUGCUGUUUCCAGUGACAAUGUCAAGUCGUUUAUUGUUCUUAUGCCUAAAAAAAGUCAAAAUGGGCAUCAAUACUGUAAAAGCUACUGUCCUAAGGAAGAGGGUUUGACUCUGGGGUCAACAACUGCUGAACAUGCCUGUGGUGUCCUGUAAGCGGCCUCUCCCAAACUGGAGAGGGGAAAAACUAGAAUGGAGAGAACCUGUGAAAACUGGAAAGAUAACAGUAAUGUUAAGGUUCUGGUGUCCUUGCUUUCUGUGCUGCCUUUCCCUGAGAGAAAAAAGCUUUGCUUUGAAGGAGCUGCCAUUGACUCUAGUUAGUGAGUGUCACAGAACAAACUUUUGCUAAAUAGAGGGUUUCAGUUCAUAAACACACUCUGAAAAUGACAGAAUGCAAUGGCGUGUUUCUGUGCAGAAAGCCUAAAUUAAUGAAAAUUGCUGGAGGGAUGCACUUAAGAGGAGCUACCAAGGCACCUCGUCCUGUAAUGGUGACAAGUUCCUUGAUUCAUUUCCAGAGCCAUAUCCAUUCUUGCACUUACUGUGGUAAAUGUUCUGUGAAUAACAUGGUUAUGCAAUUAAAGCCUGCCUAAAAUAAUACAUAUGAACUGAGGAGAAUUAGGGUUCUAUGGGCAGUAGACUUACCAUCUUCUAAUGAGUGAGACUUUAGCUUUUCAAAAUUGCUGUUCUUUGUGUUACAGUUUAAGAAACAGAACACCUCUACCCCUUUUAUGUAGAAUUCUAAUUCCAAGUGGUUUAGAACUAGGGCAAGACCCCUGAUAAACACAAUGCUGCACUCUGCCAGUAGAGCUUCCUCAAGGUUCACCAGCAGUACGCUGAUGUUCUUUAAGUGCAACAGUCGCUGGAGAAAUAAAGCAUACAUUUUGUCAGUGAGUUUCACAGCCUGACACACCAGGCUGACACACCAAGCACAGGAAAUAUCAUUACAAAUUAGUUAGUAUUUGACAAUUACUGGCAUCAAAAGCCAGAGUCUUACAGUAGGUUAUGACAGAACAACUUACCCACAAGCGUUGCUGCUUGUGCUGCCCAUAAUUUAGAAUUUCUCAGUUUUUCUCUACAAAAAAAAAGAACAUCAGAAACAAAAGUAUGGUGUAAUUACCAUAUUUUAAGUUGUGGACAAAACAACCUUUUAAUUUUUUUUUUUUUUCUUCUUUGCUCCUUUCCCCUCAGGAUUCAAGAGAAAAUCCCACACUAUUUCAAGAGCUUCAGUGACUGUACAAUAGAUGUGUCUAUUUCUUUUGAGUCUUAAGUAGAGAAAAAAACGAAGCUCUUUUUUUCUCUCUAUCAAUUGGCUUUGUGAAGCCUCUCCAGGAAAAGAAAGAAGCUACUGCAGGGGGCCAGUAUCAAAGUUGAAGAACAAAGAUGAAAGGUGAAGAGACACUUCUGUUUACAUCAGCGUGCUCUGGACCAACGUACCAGAGAAUACAUCAAAGCCACCACCAACACCAGCUCUGGAUAUCUUUUCUAACAAAUGAAAUGUGGAAAUAUUUUCCUGACUACCAUCUGAAGUAAAACAAUUGCAAAGCACUCCCAUUUGAUUGGGAACAUUUGAACUUUCAGUCUUUCAUAGUUACUCUGGCCUUGUCCAAAAUAAAUGGACAUAUGUCCAUAGGAGAAUGAGACUAGCCAUGUUAAUAUAUUAUACUAACUAUACCCUGCCUAUAUAACCUCAUCUUUUUCUAGAUGUUGCUUACGUUUUUAAUAGCUUAAAGCUUAGGUGCGCUCUAAGGCUGUUUACAAAAAUGAGAGCUAACAGAAAUGUGUCUGUGCCUUCCACAGGAUCCAGGUAGUUGUCUCCCUCCCACACCCAGUACAUACAGAGAAUUGAUUUACUCUGUAACACCCUGGGGAAGCAGACAGUUAUGAUAAUUUCCAUUUUGGAAGCCAGGAGGUUUAACAGAGAGGUUGUGUGAUUUGUCCAAGGCUUUGCAAAACCCCUAAGGCAAACUGAGAAAAGAAUACACUUCUCUUGACCUCCUUGUCUGUGUCUUGUCUACAAGGCUGCCUGUCUUCCUCCUACUGACAGGCUACAGGGAGGACGAAAGCCUUAUUGAUCCUAUGGUUACACACAGGAAAAACAGCAUCAUUUAGCAUCAGUUGAUUUCAGUAAAAGUCACGUUCCUUGUACAGAAUUUGGCACUAAAAGGUAUUCAUUUUUAGCCUAAAUAUACCUACUGAGAUACCAAUAUCAGAACAUGAUGUGUUGCUUGUUAAUAAAUGACAAUAAAUGUGUACUCAUUUUGAUUUUAUUUAACAAAUAAAUAAAAUAAAUAUAGCUGUGAUAUGUAGA